GAUGAACGCUGGCGGCGUGCUUAACACAUGCAAGUCGAACGAUGAAGCUGGAGCUUGCUCUGGUGGAUUAGUGGCGAACGGGUGAGUAACACGUGAGCAACCUGCCCCUGACUCUGGGAUAACAGCCGGAAACGGCUGCUAAUACCGGAUAUGCACCAUGAACGCAUGUUCUGUGGUGGGAAAGAUUUUUCGGUUGGGGAUGGGCGCGCGGCCUAUCAGCUUGUUGGUGAGGUAAUGGCUCACCAAGGCGUCGACGGGUAGCCGGCCUGAGAGGGUGACCGGCCACACUGGGACUGAGACACGGCCCAGACUCCUACGGGAGGCAGCAGUGGGGAAUAUUGCACAAUGGGCGAAAGCCUGAUGCAGCAACGCCGCGUGAGGGAUGACGGCCUUCGGGUUGUAAACCUCUUUUAGCAGGGAAGAAGCGAGAGUGACGGUACCUGCAGAAAAAGCGCCGGCUAACUACGUG
rnacentral:rRNA from 1 species